rnacentral:rRNA from 1 species
GACGAACGCUGGCGGCGUGCUUAACACAUGCAAGUCGAACGGUGAAGCGCCUUCCUUUUUGGUGGGUGUGGAUGAGUGGCGAACGGGUGAGUAACACGUGAGUAACCUGCCCCCUUCUUCUGGAUAACCGCAUGAAAGUGUGGCUAAUACGGGAUAUUCUGGGUCUGUCGCAUGAUGGGUCUGGGAAAGAUAUUGUUUCGGUGGGGGAUGGGCUCGCGGCCUAUCAGCUUGUUGGUGGGGUGAUGGCCUACCAAGGCGGUGACGGGUAGCCGGCCUGAGAGGGUGGACGGUCACACUGGGACUGAGACACGGCCCAGACUCCUGCGGGAGGCAGCAGUGGGGAAUAUUGCACAAUGGGCGCAAGCCUGAUGCAGCGACGCCGCGUGAGGGAUGGAGGCCUUCGGGUUGUGAACCUCUUUCGCCAGUGAAGCAGGCCUGCCUCGUUUGUGGGUGGGUUGACGGUAGCUGGAGAAGAAGCGCCGGCUAACUACGUG